UUUUGACUCACCUUCCUGAUCAGACUCCAUCCGUGAUGGGGCGUCUCUCCUGGGGGGCACAUCCGCACAGGCUGUGUUCUGCCUCUCGCAAGCUUGUGUCAUGACUCACUGGCUGAGUAAUGGGCCCCUCACAGUUUCUGCUGGUUCAGCCCAGGCCCUCUGGCUCUCUCCAGGAAGCUACAGACCUCAGCAAAAGCUGGGCAAACCGGAGCUGCAGCUCCAGAACCAGAACGAGGAAGGACCCUGUGAAAAACAGAAGGGCUUGCAGAGCCCCUACGGUGAUGCUAGACCCUUGGCAUGUCUUUGGUCCGGCUCCAUUCACCCAGCGUCUCAAAGCAUUUUACAGACAUGACUUCAUUAGGUAGGCCUGCACCCCACCUCCCAUCUGUAAACUGAAUAGAAUGACAGUUACCUUCCUUUGUAAAGGGUUUUGAAACUGUCUGGUUAAAGCCAUUAUAAGUGAAAGGUAUUGUCCUUGUGGUGAGUCCAGGUGAAAAAAUUUGGCAGAGUGCUCCACAGCAAAUACAAGGAAAGAGCUACAAGAAUGAUUCAAGACCUGGGACCCCUGCCUUGCAGUGAGACACACAAGAAGCUCCACCUAUUUUGUUUAUCCAAGAGAAAGUUAAGAGGGGACUCGAUCACAGUUUACAUGUACCUACAUGAAGAAGAGAUUUAUGAUUUCUCUUUAAUCAAGCAGAAAAAGACAUAAUCAGAUCCAGAGGUUGGAAGCUAGAGAAAUUCAGGCUAGAAAUAAGGCACAUAUUUUUAACAGUGAAGGGAAUUAACCAUUGGAAUCUACCUAGGGGCGUUGUGAAUUCUCCAUCACUGUAAGUCUUUAAAUCCAGCCUGGAUGUUUUUCUAAAAGACAUGCACUAGCUCAAAGGAGAAGUUAUGGGCUUGAUGCAGAAUGACUGGUGAGGGUUUGUGUUAUGCAGGACAUCAGUCUUGAUGCUUCUGGUCUUACAAUCUCUGACUAGAACCAAGGUGCCCUCACUCCUUGUCUGCUGCUUCACCCCUGUCUUUAGAGAGAGCUACCCCUCACUGGCCAUCUAUUGAGGGGGUGAGUGGGACGAGACCAAGGACCUGGAGCCUCAAGUUCUGGAGAUCAAGUUCAGCUCGUACAAGGCUGCAGCAGUUCAUGUGCUUCAUCAAAACGUUGUCUCCUGGGGCCCAUGUGCUGCAGCUCAUCUCCAGCAGGAGGUACAAUGCUCACUGGAUAACACAAUGAAGUCAUCUGCAUAGGGAAGACAGUCCCAAAUUUGGGACGCAGACGGGGAUAACACAGGCCUGUCGCCGCUGGAUGCACGAGAAGCGUGAGAAAGCAGCUGCAGCCCUGCUCUUCUCCCCUCUCUUGUUUGAAGACGCUGGUUUACAUCCUGCUGUGGACAGGCAGGGGCACGGAUUCAGCUUUGCCCUGAAAUCCACAUUGCAGGACUUCAGAGGGCAGCUCUGCUGGGAGCAGCCCUACAUGUCCGCCUUCACUCUGGGAAACAGCUGGAGUUUCCUUCUCCUUUGCUUUUGUUUUCUGGGUGCUCCUUAAUAAGUGUCUCUGGGUUGUAGAUGUCCUGUCCUGCCGCCACCGCUGUCAUUACUCAGAUCUUCUCAGGUCCUUUCCCAGUGUAACCGCUCCCCCGAGGCGGGUCCAGAGAAGUGUCUGAAUUGGACCUGCCUUGUCUUGGGCUGUGCCAGCCCCUGUCCCAUCCUUCCUCCAGGCUGCAGCGCUUUCUGCAGGUUUGUUUUCCCCGCCCCAUCCCCCACCCCGUUACAUCCUAGCUCUCGGGGUUCUAGGGCCCCAAUCCCUUUCCCCUGCUCCUGACUCCAGGGAGCCCCAUCCUUGGAGCGGGUGAUGGGAGAGGAGCAGCUCUCUGCUGCCCACUAGUGCCAGCAUCUGGAACUCCCAGCUGGCAGGGAUUUGGGUUGCCGCGCGUCCUUUCACACGUAUCUGCAGGGCAGCCUUUCCUCACACACCCCAAAAGGAUCGCCAGGAGCUUACUCCUUCGGGGUGGGAGGAUCCUGGGAGCUAAUCCUGAAAGCUCCAGGCACGCAGCAUUGCAGGGAUCCCCAGGAUCCACAGUGGCUGCUCUGAGGGAGUCACCCAAGCCCCCAUUCCAGGAGCAGCUGCUAUGGAUGUUACCGUGGCGCCUGCAUCCGAAAGCCCUUCCUGUCGUCGAGCCGAUCCGGCUGCAUCUGUACUUGGUGAUGGGAACACGCGGCUGGGGACGGGCCAUUUAUUUCCGUCUCUCAGAGCAGCCAUCUGGCCUGGCCUAUGAGAUGAUGGAAAGCCGAGGUCCCGGCUACUUGUGGCCAUGACAGAUCCCAUAGCGCUUCCCACACACAGAAUGGGGUCUGCCCUAGCCUGAGACCCUCUGCCUCUUGCACUCUCCUUUGCUUUCCCCAAUGGCUACGGGGCCCUUUGCAGCUGCUGGGGAGGCAGAUACUGGUAAGCAUCGGCAUGUUCCACGCCAGGGGGCUGAUGAUGCAAUCUUACCUACCUCCCUGCUGGCGAGGACCAUAUGUACUGGUAGUUGCUGGAUGUCUCUGCCCACUGGCCCGUUUGUUUCGCCUGUGGAGCCCUGCUGGUCUCCUGCCCGUGUCUCUCGUCCUCUCUCUGGGUCUCCCCCACAGCCCCAUGGUUGCACUUACAUGCUGUCCCUCAGCGGUUGCAGCCUCAAACCAGCCUUAAUUCCAUGCUGUCCCUACUGGGCCCUGAUUGGCAGCUGCCCUCCAGCGGGCUAGGGCACUGUCACAGAGACAGGUUGGGGGCCAGCAGGGGGGCUGGCUCCUAAGCUGCACUGAGUUGAAUUUGAGGCCUGCCUGCAGGAGGGGGCAACUCCAGGACAAGAAUCCUUUGCAGCAGCCCUUGGCUAAGUGCAGCUCCCGGGCCCCUGGGGCCAUUCUGGUGGGCUGAGCGUUGGGGGGGGUGUCGGGUCAUACCCCGCCAGCUGGACAUUCCCUGACCUGCAGCCCAAUGCAAAUUGCAGGCAGCUCUUGAGACAAGAGGACGACAAGGUAAGGUGCUGGGUGGGUGGAAAGAGCUGGAGAAAGCCCCCUCUCCUCUCAGGGUGGGACAUGGGGGACAUGCUCCCUUCAUUUCCCCACCCUUUGGGUCCCCAUCUGCCAUUGCCUGCUCUUGUGAGCCUGCAUGGCCUGGCAGGGCUCUGGGAUGGUGCGUCUGAGGGCUGACGGGUCUGUGGGGGAGAUGGCCCAAUGCGGAGG